AUGUUCUCGGACUUCCUUACCAUAGCUUUGGAUCCUUUUUUAUCUAGAUGGGAGUCAAUGUUUUGAUACAUUCAAGGGUUUCUUUUCCAGACUUAGGAGCUCUGUGUAUUGUAAUGAAUCGAACUAUGAACAGCUAGUUGUUCAAAGUGGUAGAAAAAGGAAGUCCUUGGAGAGUAAUCUAGGUUCAUUUGGGCAAGCUGCGCAGGAAACUGAUCAAAGUGGUAGAAGGAAGUCUUUGGAGAGUAAUCCAGGUUCAUCUGGGCGAGCUUCCCAGGCAACUGAUCAAAGUGAUAAAAAAAGUAAUCCAGUUUC